AGGAGUAAUGGUCUCAAGUUUUGCAGUGGGGGGUUUGGUUGGAUAUUAGGAAACUUUUUCACUUCAGAGAGUGGUUAAGCACCGGAAUGGUUACCUAGGAGGGGUGGAAUCUUCUUCCUUAGAGGUUUUUCAAGGCCUUG